GAUGAACGCUGGCGGCGUGCUUAACACAUGCAAGUCGAACGAUGAAGCUCAGCUUGCUGGGUGGAUUAGUGGCGAACGGGUGAGUAACACGUGAGUAACCUGCCCUUAACUCUGGGAUAAGCCUGGGAAACUAGGUCUAAUACCGGAUAGGAGCGCCUACCGCAUGGUGGGUGUUGGAAAGAUUUAUCGGUUUUGGAUGGACGCGCGGCCUAUCAGCUUGUUGGUGAGGUAAUGGCUCACCAAGGCGACGACGGGUAGCCGGCCUGAGAGGGUGACAGGCCACACUGGGACUGAGACACGGCCCAGACUCCUACGGGAGGCAGCAGUGGGGAAUAUUGCACAAUGGGCGAAAGCCUGAUGCAGCGACGCCGCGUGAGGGAUGACGGCCUUCGGGUUGUAAACCUCUUUCAGUAGGGAAGAAGCGAAAGUGACGGUACCUGCAGAAGAAGCACCGGCUAACUACGUG
rnacentral:rRNA from 1 species